rnacentral:rRNA from 1 species
UGCAUGGCUGUCGUCAGCUCGUGUCGUGAGAUGUUGGGUUAAGUCCCGCAACGAGCGCAACCCUUGCCUUUAGUUGCCAGCAGUUCGGCUGGGCACUCUAAAGGGACUGCCGGUGUUAAACCGGAGGAAGGGUGGGGAUGACGUCAAGUCCUCAUGGCCUUUAUGACCAGGGCUACACACGUACUACAAUGGCCGAUACAAAGGGCAGCGACACUGCGAGGUGAAGCCAAUCCCGUAAAAUCGGUCUCAGUCCGGAUUGGAGUCUGCAACUCGACUCCAUGAAGUUGGAAUCGCUAGUAACCGUGGAUCAGCAUGCCACGGUGAAUACGUUCCCGGGCCUU